CCAGACUCCUACGGGAGGCAGCAGUGGGGAAUAUUGGGCAAUGGGCGAAAGCCUGACCCAGCAAUGCCGCGUGAAUGAAGAAGGUCUUAGGAUUGUAAAAUUCUGUCCUAUGGGAAGAAACAAAUGACGGUACCAUAGGAGGAAGCCCCGGCUAACUCCGUGCCAGCAGCCGCGGUAAUACGGAGGGUGCGAGCGUUAAUCGGAAUUACUGGGCGUAAAGCGCUCGUAGGCGGUAUGUCAAGUCAAGGGUGAAAUCCCCGCGCUCAACGUGGGAACUGCCUUUGAAACUGGCAAACUGGAGUGUGUGAGAGGAUAGUGGAAUUCCAGGUGUAGGAGUGAAAUCCGUAGAUAUCUGGAGGAACAUCAGUGGCGAAGGCGACUAUCUGGCACAUAACUGACGCUGAGGAGCGAAAGCGUGGGUAGCAAACAGGAUUAGAUACCCCGGUA
rnacentral:rRNA from 1 species